CCCUUAGAUGUCCGGGGCCGCACGCGCGCUACACUGAAGGAAUCAGCGUGGCUUUCUCCCUGACCCGAAAGGGUUGGGAAACCCGUUGAAUCUCCUUCGUGACAGGGAUUGGGGCUUGAAAUUGUUCCCCAUGAACGAGGAAUUCCCAGUAAGCGCGAGUCAUAAGCUCGCGUUGAUUACGUCCCUGCCCUUUGUACACACCGCCCGUCGCUACUACCGAUUGAACGGUUUAGUGAGGGCCUCGGAUUGGUCUCGGCCCGCUCUUUACCGGGCGGCGCCGUUGGUCGAGAAGACGCUCGAACUUGAUCGUUUAGAGGAAGUAAAAGUCGUAACA
rnacentral:rRNA from 1 species